rnacentral:rRNA from 1 species
UACGUAGGGGGCAAGCGUUGUCCGGAAUUACUGGGCGUAAAGCGUGCGCAGGCGGUUAUGCAAGACAGAUGUGAAAUCCCCGGGCUCAACCUGGGAACUGCAUUUGUGACUGCAUGGCUAGAGUGCGGCAGAGGGGGAUGGAAUUCCGCGUGUAGCAGUGAAAUGCGUAGAUAUGCGGAGGAACACCGAUGGCGAAGGCAAUCCCCUGGGCCUGCACUGACGCUCGAUGCACGGAAAGCGUGGGGAGCAAACAGG